UAGUAACGGCGAGUGAAGCGGGAUGAGCUCAAAUUUAAAAUCUGGCAGUCUUCGAUUGUCCGAGUUGUAAUCUAGAGAAGCGUUUUCCGCGUCGGCCUGUGUACAAGUCCCUUGGAAUAGGGCGUCAUAGAGGGUGAGAAUCCCGUCCUUGACAUGGACCCCCGGUGCUUUGUGAUACAUUUUCAACGAGUCGAGUUGUUUGGGAAUGCAGCUCUAAAUGGGAGGUAAAUUUCUUCUAAAGCUAAAUAUUGGCGAGAGACCGAUAGCGCACAAGUAGAGUGAUCGAAAGAUGAAAAGCACUUUGGAAAGAGAGUUAAAAAGCACGUGAAAUUGUUGAAAGGGAAGCGCUUGCAAUCAGACUUG
rnacentral:rRNA from 1 species